GUUCACACAACUUCCUAAUUACUUCCCGUGCUGUUAACCCUUCGGGACUGUCUUACUGUAAAUGGACAGAACCCUGGUUAGAUAUAUCUAGGAAGGUGGUGUGAGCUCUAGUUGGGUGAUUUGGCGUCUGGGGUAUCUGAAGCUGGAUGGAUUUGUUUAUUUCAGCUGCAUUAUUCACUCCUUUAACAAAGUUUUUAACCCUGGCAAACUCCAUUAUUGAGGUACAAGGACCUUUAUGGUGACAUGUGGGGAUCCGAUAUCAUGUACCCCUCCGUGAUAGUCCUGAGGGGAACAUGUAGUCAUACUGAGUCAAGUGCUUCAUAUUGGUUGUUUCCGAGCUGGGGUUAAAUUCUCUUGUGCCUGGAUGGUUGGGUGCAGCUGAACUAGAAUAAAUCUAUUUUUGCAACAGUACCUUUUGCGUCAGAAAGUCUGACUAGGGUAAAUGUCAUCUGAUCCAGAAUAUCUGACUGACGGAAUAGGAUGGCCUGCCAGCGUCCGGAGCAGGAUCCUGGAGGAGGAGCUACUCAAGGCGCAUAGAUCGUCGCCCCUUCCUGAUCUCGGAG